UACGGAGGGAGCUAGCGUUGUUCGGAAUCACUGGGCGUAAAGCGCACGUAGGCGGAUUGUUAAGUCAGGGGUGAAAUCCUGGAGCUCAACUCCAGAACUGCCUUUGAUACUGGCGAUCUUGAGUUCGGGAGAGGUGAGUGGAACUGCGAGUGUAGAGGUGAAAUUCGUAGAUAUUCGCAAGAACACCAGUGGCGAAGGCGGCUCACUGGCCCGAUACUGACGCUGAGGCACGAAAGCGUGGGGAGCAAACAGG
rnacentral:rRNA from 1 species